UAUCUCUGUAGAGUCUGCAUAUCAAUAAGCGGAGGAAAAGAAACUAACAAGGAUUCCCCUAGUAACGGCGAGUGAAGCGGGAAGAGCUCAAAUUUGAAAUCUUCAAGGUUCUACCUUGACGAAUUGUAGUUUAAAGAAGUGUUUUCUGUUGGAGUUUUGGUAAAAGUUCUUUGGAAUAGGACAUCAUAGAGGGUGAGAAUCCCGUAUUUGACCAUUUCUUCCAGCUGUGUGAUACACUUUCAAAGAGUCGGAUUGUUUGGGAAUGCAGUCCAAAAUGGGUGGUAAAUUUCAUCUAAAGCUAAAUAUUGGCGAGAGACCGAUAGCGAACAAGUACCGUGAGGGAAAGAUGAAAAGAACUUUGAAAAGAGAGUUAAACAGUACGUGAAAUUGUCAAAAGGGAAGCGUUUGACACCAGUGUUGUUUUCUCGAAAAUCAAUUAAAAAUGGCCGGAUUUUGUGUUGUAUUGACUUUAUCAGCUUUCUGCACUUUUUUCUUGUCUUUUUUAAUGCACUUUUCGUUUAACAAGUCAACAUCAAUUUCUUUUGUUGUAAAAGAGUCAUUGGAAGGUGGCUUUCACUUCGGUGAAAGUGUUUAUAGCCUUUGACUUCUGCAAUCGGAGAGAUUGAGGUCUGCAGCGUAGAUCCUUCGGGGUUAGAUACAUUUGUGCUAAGUUAUAGUUUUUCAUAGACAACAUGUUGAUUAUGAUUAAUCAUGUAGCUUACUCGCUUAUGCUAUUUUACCUACGCUUAGGAUGUUGAUGUGAUACUGCGAGCA
rnacentral:rRNA from 1 species